rnacentral:lncRNA from 1 species
GUUUCAACCCCCGCGCCAUCACUCUGCAUACAUUUAAGUCUGCAGGCACUUACAGACGACCAUGGACUGACAGAUCAGUAGAAGAAGAUACAUGGCAACAAUUCAGGCAUGAAACAGGUCAAAGCAACACCAUUACUAUUUCCUCCAAAUCCUGAAACAUUUGUGUCCUCGCAAAUUACAAAAUGGUGCGUUCUGAACAUCUAACUACAGAGUACAAUGGAUUCAUCAAACAGCCACGAGAAGUCAACACAUUCAGAGAAGACACAAGAGCAGGCUAUCUAAGAGGAGGUGAACUUGGUGACGGCCUUGGUCCCCUCAGAGACGGCGUGCUUGGCGAGCUCGCCGGGGAGGACGAGGCGGACGGAGGUCUGGAUCUCCCUGGACGUGAUGGUGGGCUUCUUGUUGUAGCGCGCCAGCUUGGCGGACUCGCCGGCGAGCUUCUCGAAGAUGUCGUUGAUGAAGGAGUUCAUGAUGGACAUGGCCUUGGAGGA